CAGACUGGAAAGCUGUCACAUUAGUGCUAGCUACUAUCUCAGCUUUCAUACAGCUUCCAUCAUAAAUGUUUAAUUUAGUUUUUUCUUCGAUUACAUUCUUGCAUGGAUAGACAGGGAAAAAAUGUCAGACUUGCAACGUACUUCGACAUGUUAAUAUCCAUGGGAUAAAAAUCUUGGAGGAAGCCUCUCUGGAGCAAGUGUCUUCAGUAACCCUUAACACUUCGGUACAGAGAAACAAUAUCACCCUUGCUUCAAAAAAUAUCAUUCUGUAUGGUAAGAUGCCUUGAAGACCAAUAGUAAUUAUGAUAGUCAGAAAUGAAAGGACUGUGAAAAUGUAUAUCCAUCCUUCAUAUGAACUCAUGCUACCUUUAUUUGGCAAGCCUGGAGAUUGCAUAGAUUGCCUUAUUUCUUUUUUUUAUUUCUAACCCAUUGGAUUUAUCAGAAUGAAAUAUGAGUGAAAUGCUAGAAUUCAGGCCUCGCAGAUUCUAUCCGUACUUCCCCCUGUUCAGGAGAUAUCUCCCACGUAUUAUAAUUAUUCUGCUCAAUUCCAUCACACUUCCAAUUUCUACUCCUAGUAAUACAACUCACCUUCAAAGUACACAGUGACAAGGGCAGUUCAUGAGGACAGCUGGGCUCAGUGAAGACAUCUUUGCUAUGUAAGCUUAAUUCAAUGUGCAUAGAACUGGAAAUGCUUUUCUGAAGGAGCUAGGGGUAGAGCUGCAUCCUACACUAUGUUAAAUAAAAUGCAGAAUCUGGACCUUCAAUUCUGUUCACCUCAAAUUUUGGACAUGGAAAGUAAAAUGAUGGUAUGAUUUACUAUUUUCUUAUAACUGAAUUGCAUGCACCAGGAGAGAAGUAUAGAGAGAAAAUUCUCACUUGCUACACCAGAGGCUUCAUUAUUAACAUUUCAGUGAAUAAAACAAUGAUUACUACAGAAAGCAAUUAAGUAAUGCCCACUGCAAUGGGAAAAAAAAAAAAGCUGACAAGUUUCACGUAGUUUGAGCCAACUCAUUUUGCUUCACAAGUGGGACACUCUAAAGUUAUAUAUGGCUGGCUCCCAUUGUGCAGCUAAUGAAAGAUCAUUUUUAAUCAAUAAACAAAUAAAUCAGUUGUUUUCAUGCAUACGUUUCUUUUUCCUAAUCCAGUGACAUAGUCCCAGUCAAGAAAGGCCAGGUGUGAGAAGAAAAGAGAUUGUUCUUGACUUCUUAGCUGAGGGCUUUUUCUUGGGCAAGGCCAAGGUGCCUAUAGCUGAUGUAGGUAAGAUCACAGUUUCCAUGCUUCCUGAACAAUGCUGCACUUAAGUCUCUAAUACCAAAAACUUUUCUUAGCAAUGCAUUUCAGUUUGUACAUCAUGGAAGAGAUAAGAUUUUGAAUCUAGCUUGCUGGCUGUCUAGUCACACAAUUAAGCAUUUAUUUCAUUUUUGACCUUGGUCUACAUAUGUACUUCCAUUGAUACGAAACAUCGAGGUAUGGCCAAAUUAGGAAUCUCUUCCAAAUGGUCUAGUUCAAUCAGAAGUCAUGGAUUUGUUGCAAUUGUUUCUGUUUGAAGUUUUAUGCUGCAUGUGAUCCAAGCAGUCAUAGAUUGUAAUGGUACUUUCUGGUCUUAAAUCUGCUCAUUCCUCCUCAGUCACUCAAUUUCUUACAGAAAUGUCUCAAUCUUUUACUUUUCCUAACAGCCAAAAAUUGGAUAGAAUUGAAUCCUUCUAUCUUGAAAUGUAAAUUUUAUAUGUAUAUAUAUUUAUAUCAUGUAUGAUUUAUGCUCAAAAAUCAUACUCCAGAUAAAGUAUAGACAUUGAUCAUUAUUUUUUGAGCAAUUGCUUAUAAAUUUAGUAAGCUGUCUGCCUUUUUAUACUUUUCAGUCUGUUCUCAUUACAGACAUGGCAGAAGGCUUUGUAGUAAAUUUGGAAUUUGCUGAGUGAGAAAAUGAAGAUUUAUACAAAGCUAAAUUGAACAAAUGGUGAAUAAUUGAUUUAACUGACCUGACAGCUCACACUGUGCUUGUAAAUAAUACAUAACUUUUUACUAUUCUGAUAAUUUAGUAUUCUGUGCUUCUAGAUUUCUUUCAGUAAGUUACCAUAAGGACCAAAUGAUCUUUGACCACCCUAAAAAGGCAAAAAUAUGCUUACUAAGAACAUUCUGACACCCAGGUUGUAGAUAGCAAUAGACUGAUAUAGUGCUGAUGAAGCACCUUCAUAAAGAUUCUCUGCCCUUUUGCCUUUUGUCUCUAAAGCACUGUUUGUUAGAUAGCCCCAAUAUAACCAUUUCUUACUAUUCUGCCAGCCACCAGCUCCUGGACAGGCUCUGUAAAAAUUUACGUAGCAUCACUGUGGUGAACAGGAUCACAGUGACUUGUAACAACAAAUGCAGGUGCCUGUUCUGCAUUUCCUUUUCUUUCAGUGUGUAAGUCUGAACCCUUCAACAAAUGCAUAAACAGAAGCUGUUGUUAAACUGGUUCUGAAAGUACACAUGCAAUUGUAAGUUGAUAUAUGUGUCUGAUAGCUUCAUUGCCUUUACUAUUCAGUAACUACUGAAAUAACCUGUACAAUAGAAGCGUGAAAGGCAACCACUAGGAUUUGGCAGCUUUCCAUACCCCCCUUGCAGGACAACAGCCAGUUACAAAAAAGUACAGAGCAAUGGCGAGCUUAGCCUACUUUUUAUUCAGAGGAUCACAGGAUUAGAGGAUUGUAGGGGUUGGAAAGGACCUCUGGAGAUCAUCUUGUUCAACCCCCUGCUAAAGAAGGUUCCCUACGCAGGAAAGCAUCCAGACAGAUUUUGAAUAUCUCCAGAGAAGGAGACUGCCACCUCUCUGGGCAGCCUGUUCCAGUGCUCUGUUACCCUUAAAAUAAAGAUUUUUUAUGUUCCAGUUUGUGUGCAUUGCCCCUUGUCCUGUUUCUGGGUGCCACUGAAAAGAACCUGGCCCCACUCAGUUGUCUCCAGCCUGUUAGAUACUUGUAAGUAUACAUAAGAUUCCCUUUCAGUUUUCUCCAGGCUGAACAGCCUUAGGUCUCUCAGCCUUCCCCAUAAGGAAGCCCUCCAGGGCAUCCACUGGACUCUCUAGAUGUUCCCUGUAUUUCUUGAACUGAGGAGCCCAGACCUGGACACAGUGAUCCAAAUGUGGUCUUCCAGGGCAGAGGAAUG
ensembl:lncRNA